AACGCACAUUGCGCCCUUUGGUAUUCCGAAGGGCAUGCCUGUUCGAGCGUCAUUAUCACCCCUCAAGCCCCCCGGGUUUGGUGUUGGACGGCUUGGUGGAGACCCUUUUAUUCAGGGUCGCUACCCCUCCCAAAGACAAUGACGGCGGCUUCGUUGGACCCCCGGUACACUGAGUUCUUCACGGGACACGUACUGGAUUUAAAGGGUGCGCGGGGCACGGUCUACCUCCCCUAUAGGGAGAAUUAUCUCAAGGUUGACCUCGGAUCAGGUAGGGAUACCCGCUGAACUUAA
rnacentral:misc_RNA from 1 species